ACGGAAGGCAGCAGUGGGGAAUAUUGCACAAUGGGGGAAGCCCUGAUGCAGCGACGCCGCGUGAGUGAAGAAGUAUUUCGGUAUGUAAAGCUCUAUCAGCAGGGAAGAAAAUGACGGUACCUGACUAAGAAGCCCCGGCUAACUACGUGCCAGCAGCCGCGGUAAUACGUAGGGGGCAAGCGUUAUCCGGAUUUACUGGGUGUAAAGGGUGUGUAGGCGGGGGAGCAAGUCAGAUGUGAAAUCCAUGGGCUCAACUCAUGGACUGCGUCUGAAACUGUUCUUCUUGAGUGUCGGAGGGGUAAUCGGAAUUCCUGGUGUAGCGGUGAAAUGCGUAGAUAUCAGGAGGAACAGCGGUGGCGAAGGCGGAUUACUGGACGACAACUGACGCUGAGACACGAAAGCGUGGGGAGCAAACAGGAUUAGAUACCCUAGUA
rnacentral:rRNA from 1 species